CCAGUCCUACGGGGGGCAGCAGUGGGGAAUAUUGGGCAAUGGGCGCAAGCCUGACCCAGCGACGCCGCGUGAGGGAAGACGGUCUUCGGAUUGUAAACCUCUUUCAGCAGGGAAGACAAAGGGACGGUACCUGCAGAAGGAGCCACGGCUAACUACGUGCCAGCAGCCGCGGUAAUACGUAGGUGGCAAGCGUUAUCCGGAAUUACUGGGUGUAAAGGGUGUGUAGGCGGGUUUGCAAGU
rnacentral:rRNA from 1 species